CCGUCUCUUGCCUCGCUCGGUCAGUGCGCACUUUCAAUCGUCUGACCUUGAGCUGGAUGCAUCCGUCUUUCGUCUUAGUGAUGUAGAUGAUUUGUAUGAGACUAGAGGAAACCACCUAGCCGGUGAUCUUUGAGUACGAUCCUUUCCGACUUCUUUUCACGGAAUUAGGCAUCGUAAUUUAUCCGUCGGUACAUCU
rnacentral:snoRNA from 1 species